rnacentral:rRNA from 1 species
AUUGAACGCUGGCGGCAGGCCUAACACAUGCAAGUCGAGCGAGCGGCGGACGGGUGAGUAAUGUCUGGGAAACUGCCUGAUGGAGGGGGAUAACUACUGGAAACGGUAGCUAAUACCGCAUACCAUCAGAUGUGCCCAGAUGGGAUUAGCUAGUAGGUGGGGUAACGGCUCACCUAGGCGACGAUCCCUAGCUGGUCUGAGAGGAUGACCAGCCAAUCUGGGACUGCGACACGGACCAGACUCCUACGGGAGGCAGGAGUGGGGAAUAUUGCACAAUGGGCGCAAGCCUGAUGCAGCCAUGCCGCGUGUAUGAAGAAGGCCUUCGGGUUGUAAAGUACUUUCAGCGGGGAGGCGUUACCCGCAGAAGAAGCACCGGCUAACUCCGUGCCAGCAGCCGCGGUAAUUC